UCUUUCUCUCUUUCUCCGUCUCUCUACUUCUAUCUCUAUCUCUAUCUAUAUAUCACGGUCUAUUCGAUAUAUAAACGACUAGUCGAAAUAAUUACGUUAGAAUUUAUCUUCUAGGAGUAAGUAAAGAAUGAAAAUUUUUCUUUGGCCGAGUGUAUGAGUUUGAAAAAAGAGGGGAAAGGAAAAGAAAGAAAGAAAGAAAGAAAGAAAGAAAGAAAGAAAGAAAGAAAGAAAGAAAGAAAGAGGAGAAAGGAAAAAGGAAAGGGAAAAAAAAGGAACGCAAUAAGAUUUGGAGUUGGUUAGAAAAAAAGGGGAAAAGGGGGGAAAUUAAAAGUCACCUGUCGGGAUCGGCUCUCGUCGGCAUCGUUCGUUUCGUUGCAGGGAGGGGCGUCCGAAGGUGCGGUGGAAGGUUCGAGGGAGGGAGGAACUAGACGGAGAGAGAGAUAGGGUGAGAGCGAGAGAGAGAGAUAGAGAGAUAGAGAGUCGAGUAGUGGGAGAAAGGGAGAGAAGGACACCGUAUCGUCAGCGAGAGUAGUACCAAUCGCGAGCCGAGUCGACGGAUAUAAUCGUGGCCGUUCGAGGGAAGCGCAUUCGAGGGUCGUCGUCGUCGCGCGUUCGAAGAAAGGAACGGAACGGAACGUGAACUGGACAAGAAGAAGGUGGAUGCAUGGAGUAAGAAGAAAAUAAAGGACGUUAUCUACAUUAUAUAUAUAUAUAUAUAUAUAUAUAUAUAUAUAUGUACGUAUGUAUAUAUAUAUAUAUAUAUCGUCGUGGUAGGAGGAUACGAACGACAUCGCUAAAGGGUCAAUCUUGUUCUUGUGCUCCAUCCUCGUCCUUUUUCUUUAAAUUGCCAGUUAGAAGAAUGCAAGCACUUCUAUAACGUUAUUCUAACUUUUUAUAAUCAUCCGAUUGCCAAGCAAAGAAGAGCAGGAGAAUAACGAUAAGGAGGAAAAUAGAAAAGUUUGAAAUGAUAGAGGCAAGCCAUUGACCUCUCUUUUCCUCUACGAUAAGGGGAAAGCGCAUAAUCGAAGCCGGAGAAGAGCGCGAGAAUCGCGAAAAGAAGGAAAUCGAGCGAACGAACGAACGAACGAACGAACGAACGAACGAACGAACGAACGAGCAAGGGAGCGAGCGAACGAACGAGUCGAGUCGAGUCGAGUCGAGUCGAGUUGAGUCGAGACGAGUCGAGUCGAGUCGAGUAGAGACGAGACGAGUCGAGUCGAGUCGAGCCGUGUGGUGGCAGCCCAGUGACCCGUUUUCCCUUCACCCUCAAUCGAUGUACUCCUGUACUACCGUUUAAAAGGGAACGAAAACAAAACACGAGCUUCGACGACGACCCUUUGGUCCUUCCUCGAGGAUAUCGGGAAC